GUUGCCCUCGGAUCAGGUAGGGAUACCCGCU
rnacentral:rRNA from 1 species